rnacentral:rRNA from 1 species
GAUGAACGCUGGCGGCGUGCCUAAUACAUGCAAGUCGAGCGAACAGACGAGGAGCUUGCUCCUCUGACGUUAGCGGCGGACGGGUGAGUAACACGUGGAUAACCUACCUAUAAGACUGGGAUAACUUCGGGAAACCGGAGCUAAUACCGGAUAAUAUAUUGAACCGCAUGGUUCAAUAGUGAAAGACGGUUUUGCUGUCACUUAUAGAUGGAUCCGCGCCGCAUUAGCUAGUUGGUAAGGUAACGGCUUACCAAGGCAACGAUGCGUAGCCGACCUGAGAGGGUGAUCGGCCACACUGGAACUGAGACACGGUCCAGACUCCUACGGGAGGCAGCAGUAGGGAAUCUACCGCAAUGGGCGAAAGCCUGACGGAGCAACGCCGCGUGAGUGAUGAAGGUCUUUGGAUCGUAAAACUCUGUUAUUAGGGAAGAACAAAUGUGUAAGUAACUAUGCACGUCUUGACGGUACCUAAUCAGAAAGCCACGGCUAACUACGUG